rnacentral:rRNA from 1 species
GACGAUCCCUGGCGGCGCGCUUAACACAUGCAAGUCGAGCGAGAACCAGUCCUUCGGGGCUGGGGACAGCGGCGAACGGGUGAGGAACACGUGGGUAAUCUGCCCUCGGCACCGGAAUAGCCCGGGGAAACCCGGAUUAAUGCCGGAUGGCCUCUCUGCCCCUCGGGGCGGUGAGAAAAGGUAGCCUCGGCCUACGGCCGAGGAUGAGGCCGCGGCCACGUAGCUUGUUGGUGGGGUAACGGCUCACCAAGGCGACGAUCGGUAGCUGGUCUGAGAGGACGAUCAGCCACACUGGAACUGAGACACGGCCCAGACUCCUACGGGAGGCAGCAGUGGGGAAUCUUGCGCAAUGGGCGAAAGCCUGACGCAGCGACGCCGCGUGCGGGAAGAAGGCCUUCGGGUUGUAAACCGCUUUCAGGAGAGACGAAGCCACUCGGGUUAAUAGCCUAGAGGGUGACGGUACCUCCAGAAGAAGCCCCGGCUAACUACGUGCCAGCCGCCGCGGUAAUAC